rnacentral:rRNA from 1 species
CCUACGGGAGGCAGCAGUAGGGAAUCUUUCACAAUGCGCGAAAGCCUGAUGGAGCAACGCCGCGUGCAGGAUGAAGGCCUUCGGGUUGUAAACUGCUUUUAUAAGCGAGAAAUAUGAUGGUAACUUAUGAAUAAGGAUCGGCUAACUACGUGCCAGCAGCCGCGGUCAUACGUCAGUUCCGAGCAUUAUCCGGAGUGACUGGGUGUAAAGAGUUGCGUAGGUUGCAUAGUAAGUAGCUAGUGAAAUCGGGUGGCUCAACCAUUCAGACUAUUAGCUAAACUGCUAAGCUCGAGACCGUUAGGGGUAACGGGAAUGUCUAGGGUAGGUGUGAAAUCCGUAGAUAUUAGAAGGAACACCGAUAGGGUAGGCAGGUUACUGGGACGGUUCUGACACUAAGGCACGAAAGCGGAGGGAGCAAACGGGAUUAGAUACCCUUGUAGUC